GACGAACGCUGGCGGCGUGCUUAACACAUGCGAGUCGAACGGUGAAGCUCCAGCUUGCUGGAGUGGAUCAGUGGCGAACGGGUGAGUAACACGUGAGCAACCUGCCCCUGACUCUGGAAUAAGCGCUGGAAACGGCGUCUAAUACUGGAUACGAGAAGGGUCCGCAUGGGCACUUUCUGGAAAGUUUUUCGGUUGGGGAUGGGCUCGCGGCCUAUCAGCUUGUUGGUGAGGUAAUGGCUCACCAAGGCGACGACGGGUAGCCGGCCUGAGAGGGCGACCGGCCACACUGGGACUGAGACACGGCCCAGACUCCUGCGGGAGGCAGCAGUGGGGAAUAUUGCACAAUGGGCGAAAGCCUGAUGCAGCGACGCCGCGUGAGGGAUGACGGCCUUCGGGUUGUAAACCUCUUUCAGCAGGGAAGAAGCGAAAGUGACGGUACCUGCAGAAGAAGCACCGGCUAACUACGUG
rnacentral:rRNA from 1 species